GAUGAACGCUAGCGGCAGGCCUAAUACAUGCAAGUCGAACGGUGUCUUCGGACAUAGUGGCGCACGGGUGCGUAACACGUAUGCAACCUACCUUACAUUGGGGGAUAGCCUUUCGAAAGGGAGAUUAAUACCGCAUAAGACAGUAGCUGGGCAUCCAGCAGCUGUUAAAGAUUUAUCGAUGUAAGAUGGGCAUGCGUCCAAUUAGUUAGUUGGCGAGGUAAUGGCUCACCAAGACUUUGAUUGGUAGGGGAACUGAGAGGUCAAUCCCCCACACUGGCACUGAGAUACGGGCCAGACUCCUACGGGAGGCAGCAGUAGGGAAUAUUGGGCAAUGGACGCAAGUCUGACCCAGCCAUGCCGCGUGCAGGAUGAAGGCGUUAUGCGUUGUAAACUGCUUUUAUACAGGAAGAAACGACUCUUGCGAGAGGCAUUGACGGUACUGUAUGAAUAAGCACCGGCUAACUCCGUGCCAGCAGCCGCAGUAAUAC
rnacentral:rRNA from 1 species